rnacentral:rRNA from 1 species
GGGAGGGUAACAAACUCUGAUUUAACGACGUUUCUUCUGAGUGGUACAAGCAAAUAAUCAAAACUUUUAACAACGGAUCUCUUGGUUCUGGCAUCGAUGAAGAACGCAGCGAAAUGCGAUAAGUAAUGUGAAUUGCAGAAUUCAGUGAAUCAUCGAAUCUUUGAACGCACAUUGCGCCCGCCAGCAUUCUGGCGGGCAUGCCUGUUCGAGCGUCAUUUCAACCCUCAAGCUCUGCUUGGUGUUGGGGCCCUACAGCUGAUGUAGGCCCUCAAAGGUAGUGGCGGACCCUCCCGGAGCCUCCUUUGCGUAGUAACUUUACGUCUCGCACUGGGAUCCGGAGGGACUCUUGCCGUAAAACCCCCAAUUUUCCAAAGGUUGACCUCGGAUCAGGUAGGAAUACCCGCUGAACUUAAGCAUAUCAAAGGGGGGGGAAGAA